GCCCCUGGUCCCGGUUGCAGCCCCCGGAUGAGCCCACAGUAUUUUCCUUAUAUGAUUGGGCCCUGCGGCUGGCAGCGCGCUAGCCCAGAGCCUAAAAGGAUUAUGAAACCGCGUCAGGCUAAGCGGGGCGCGGAACCGGGGC